rnacentral:rRNA from 1 species
AUUGAACGCUGGCGGCAGGCCUAACACAUUCAAGUCGAGCGGAGCGGCGGACGGGCGAGUAAUGCCUAGGAAUCUGACUGGCAGUGGGGGAUAACGUCCGGAUACGGGCGCUAAUAACGCAUACUUGCAGUUGAGCCUAGGCCGGAUUAGCUAGUUGGUGGGGUAAAGGCCUACUAAGGCGACGAUCCCUAACUGGUCUGAGUGGAUGAACAGCCACACUGGAACUGAGACACGGUCCAGACUCCUACGGGAGGCAGCAGUGGGGAAUAUUGGACAAUGGGCGAAAGCCUGAUCCAGCCAUGCCGCGUGUGUGAAGAAGGUCUUCGGGUUGUAAAGCACUUUAAGUUGGGAGGCGUUACCCGCAGAAGAAGCACCGGCUAACUUCGUGCCAGCAGCCGCGGUAAUAC